CCUACGGGAGGCAGCAGUGAGGAAUAUUGGUCAAUGGACGAGAGUCUGAACCAGCCAAGUAGCGUGAAGGAUGACUGCCCUAUGGGUUGUAAACUUCUUUUAUAUGGGAAUAAAACGUUCCACGUGUGGGAUUUUGUAUGUACCAUAUGAAUAAGGAUCGGCUAACUCCGUGCCAGCAGCCGCGGUCAUACGGAGGGUCCGAGCGUUAUCCGGAUUUAUUGGGUUUAAAGGGAGCGUAGGUGGAUUGUUAAGUCAAUUGUGAAAGUUUGCGGCUCAACCGUAAAAUUGCAGUUGAAACUGGCAGUCUUGAGUACAGGAGAGGUGGGCGGAAUUCGUGGUGUAGCGGUGAAAUGCUUAGAUAUCACGAAGAACUCCGAUUGCGAAGGCAGUUCACUGGACUGCAACUGACACUGAGGCUCGAAAGUGUGGGUAUCAAACAGGAUUAGAUACCCUUGUAGUC
rnacentral:rRNA from 1 species